UCUCUGAUAGUAUAUCGGUUAGUACACGCGCCUGUCAUUCUAUUGUCUUAGUAUCGAUGGCCGCGCGAAAGCUGGGUUCGACUCCCAGUCAGAGAG